UACGGAGGGUGCAAGCGUUAUCCGGAUUUACUGGGUUAAAGGGUGUGUAGGCGGACUUUUAAGUCAGGGGUGAAAUCCCGAGGCUCAACCUCGGAACUGCCUUUGAUACUAUUGGUCUUGAAUCUUGUUGAGGUGGGCGGAACGGGUCAUGUAGCGGUGAAAUGCAUAGAUAUGACCCGGAACACCGAUUGCGAAGGCAGCCCGCUAAGCAAGCAUUGACGCUGAGGCACGAAAGCGUGGGGAUCAAACAGG
rnacentral:rRNA from 1 species